UGUGAGCUAGACAUCCCUAGCAGUACCCCCAUUCACUUCGGCCUAGGUUAUGAAUGACAUUCAUGGAAAAAUAAAAGGGGAAAAAAACAGCCACUGCCAUGCAAAAAACAAGGUAUGCAGCCCACAAGAAGACACAGUAUGUUACCUCAGUUUCUGGAGUAGGAGACGGAGUAAUGGAACCAAGAGAUCCUUUUCGUGAGCCCUGGAGAUCUGUUGGGAUGGACACAGGACGCUGCCACUGAGUUGUUCCUGUAGGAACAUCGAGCUGUAGAAAGAAACAAGCAACCUCCUGGACUGAUGUUUCCACAAGUACUUGAGCAGAGAUGAUGAAGGCUGACUGCAGCACAGUGAACUGAGAUAGUGAGAAAAACCCCCAAGAAUACCAAUGCUCACCAUACCAGGUGCACGAAAGCCGUCACUAGCGAGGCAGGCAGCUCUCAUCCCAGAUCUGCCCACAGUGGCACAG